rnacentral:rRNA from 1 species
AUUGAACGCUGGCGGCAUGCCUUACACAUGCAAGUCGAACGGUAACGCGGGGGCAACCCUGGCGACGAGUGGCGAACGGGUGAGUAAUACAUCGGAACGUACCCAGUAGUGGGGGAUAGCUCGGCGAAAGCCGGAUUAAUACCGCAUACGACCUAUGGGUGAAAGCGGGGGAUCGCAAGACCUCGCGCUAUUGGAGCGGCCGAUGUCGGAUUAGCUAGUUGGUGAGGUAAAGGCUCACCAAGGCUACGAUCUGUAGCUGGUCUGAGAGGACGACCAGCCACACUGGGACUGAGACACGGCCCAGACUCCUACGGGAGGCAGCAGUGGGGAAUUUUGGACAAUGGGCGAAAGCCUGAUCCAGCCAUGCCGCGUGCGGGAAGAAGGCC